CAUGAAGCUGGAAUCGCUAGUAAUCNCGGAUCAGAAUGCCGCGGUGAAUACGUUCCCGGGUCUUGUACACACCGCCCGUCACACCAUGGGAGUCGGAAAUGCCCGAAGUCUGUGACCUAACCGUAAGGAAGGAGCAGCCGAAGGCAGGUCGGAUGACUGGGGUGAAGUCGUAACAAGGUACC
rnacentral:rRNA from 1 species